GUCAUUAGAGAAAUGAGAGAAGGUUAGCACUCCCCUUGAGAAGGAUGGAAGAGGUCCUAGUGGCCUAUACAACACAUAUAAGGUUAAGGCAUUGCCACCUACUUCGUGGCACCUAACCAAGUUUUUUC